UACGGGGGGAGCAAGCGUUGUUCGGAUUUACUGGGCGUAAAGGGCGCGUAGGCGGUCAGUGCAAGUCAGUUGUGAAAUCUCCGGGCUUAACUCGGAAAGGUCAACUGAUACUGCUCGACUAGAGUGCGGAAGGGGCAACUGGAAUUCUUGGUGUAGCGGUGAAAUGCGUAGAGAUCCGGAGGAACACCGACGGCGUAGGCAGCGCCCUGGACGACACCUGACGCUGAGGCACGAAAGCUGGGGGAGCGAACAGG
rnacentral:rRNA from 1 species